rnacentral:tRNA from 1 species
GGUGAGGUGGGUGAGUGGCUGAAACUAACGGUUUGCUAAACCGUCGUACCUUGAAAAGGGGUACCGAGGGUUCGAAUCCCUCCCUCACCG